rnacentral:rRNA from 1 species
CUGGCUCAGAACGAACGCUGGCGGCGCGUUUAAGCAUGCAAGUCGAGCGGCAAGGGCCUUCGGGCCCCUAGAGCGGCGGACGGGUGAGUAACACGUGGACAAUCUGGCCCCCCGGCCCGGGAUAGCCCAGGGAAACCUGGAUUAAUACCGGAUGAGACGGGACCCGCGAUGGCGGGAUCCGGGAAAGGCGCUGCGGCGCCGCCGGGGGAUGAGUCUGCGUCCCAUUAGCUAGACGGCGGGGUAACGGCCCACCGUGGCGACGAUGGGUAGCCGGCCUGAGAGGGUGGACGGCCACAUUGGAACUGAGACACGGUCCAGACUCCUACGGGAGGCAGCAGCUAAGAAUCUUCCGCAAUGGGCGAAAGCCUGACGGAGCCGACGCCGCGUGAACGAAGAAGGCCGUGAGGUUGUAAAGUUCUUUUCGGGAGGGGAACAACCGUGGCAGGGAAUGGCCGCGGGAUGACGUGAAUCCCGGAAUAAGCCCCGGCUAACUACGUGCCAGCAGCCGC